rnacentral:rRNA from 1 species
GAUGAACGCUGGCGGCGUGCCUAAUACAUGCAAGUCGAGCGAACAGAUGAGGAGCUUGCUCCUCUGACGUUAGCGGCGGACGGGUGAGUAACACGUGGAUAACCUACCUAUAAGACUGGGAUAACUUCGGGAAACCGGAGCUAAUCCCGGAUAAUAUAUUGAACCGCAUGGUUCAAUAGUGAAAGACGGUUUUGCUGUCACUUAUAGAUGGAUCCGCGCCGCAUUAGCUAGUUGGUAAGGUAACGGCUUACCAAGGCGACGAUGCGUAGCCGACCUGAGAGGGUGAUCGGCCACACUGGAACUGAGACACGGUCCAGACUCCUACGGGAGGCAGCAGUAGGGAAUCUUCCGCAAUGGGCGAAAGCUUGACGGAGCAACGCCGCGUGAGUGAUGAAGGUCUUCGGAUCGUAAAACUCUGUUAUUAGGGAAGAACAAAUGUGUAAGUAACUAUGCACGUCUUGACGGUACCUAAUCAGAAAGCCACGGCUAACUACGUG